rnacentral:lncRNA from 10 species
GCCUGCAGCAUUUCAGAGUCCCGUGACAAGUGGACCAAAGGUCUGCAUUUGCAAACCCCUACUGGGAUUAAUCCCUAAUUCCCAGUGGAGAAGGAGCACCAGGCCCACACAAGGCCAGACCCACGCCCUGGGCUUCUUACGCACACAGCCUUGACCUCCACAGCCACGGAGCAGCCUUGGCUUUCAGGCCUCCUAAAGCAUGUUUCUAAGAGAUGAAAAAGAGUCGUGUUCAAGCUCGUGGAUUCCGUCUCAACAUGUAUAAAACAAUCGUCGAGCAAACCCUCACUGAGCAGCACUCGCACUGUCCCAGACACCGUGCUGGUUGCAGUGAAUGAAACAGGUUCCAGGCUCCCAGAACUCAGUGAGGUUGGCGAGCCGGGCCGGCACACAGAAACGCUGCUACAAACACGCAAACGUGCUCCCCUCCAUGCAGGGCAAACCCUCCUCAGGGGCCCCUUUUCCUAGAAUUUGGGCCCUUGUCCAGGCCUCACCUCCAGAAGAGUCUCCUUAAGCAGGAGGCUGAGAGGGCAGCGAGGCGGGGAGGGAAGGGGGACAGCCAGUGUCACUGCAAGUCGCUUUAUUUCUCCUGCGGAAGUCCAGCCCUCCCUCACUCCCCUACUCCCCGGCACUUCCAGCUUCCUCCCCGCAGCGGGUUAACACGUGCAUUUGCCAAGAGCUCAGGAAGGGCGCGCUGUGAGCAUCCAGCCAGCUGAGGAGGAGGGGACUGUCCCCUGGGCAGCCACCCCGCUGCCACCUGAGGAAGCUACUUUGGGGUCCACCUGCAUGCACGGUUUUGCUUAUUAAUGACCCAGCCAGGCUUUCUCACAUUGUCUUGUGCUAGAGGCAUUGACUCCUCACAUCGGAAAAGUAAAAUGCCUAGAAAUGCCUAAAGGAGAAAUAAAACAAAGUGGUUGAUGCUUAGAAAGAAAAGUCAUCCAAUUCACUCACAGUGGGUCAUGCUGCUUAACUCAGCCACAAGGAAAUCCCAAUUCAUGCAAAAAUAAUUCUGUCUUCAUUAUUCUACAAUCCAGUGGGUGUCUAUGAUAAUUUGAGUACUCCUUUCUUGAAAAGAGAAGAUCAGCACGUGUGUCUUUAACAAUACAUUCCUCUUGGUCUUGCUGAAAUGCUGCAUUAGUGACUGCAUCUGAUUGCACUGGAACCUGGCUCAGGCCCCCUACUGAUGCUCUUACAGGCCAUUAUUAAUGCGUACCCCUUCAGGGGCUGUAAUUUGGGACUCAAUUUGCCAUAAAAUUGUCCUAAGUGUCACCUUAGUAAUCGGAGAUCACAUGACCCAUGAAACACAUUGAGAUGAAAGAUGGCACCUCUUGGAAAUGAAUGUCAAAUUUUCCCCCAUAGUAAAAAGGCACUAGCCAUUGUAUUUGCAGUGGAUUUCACUGUGCCUUGAGAUGGGGAGGGGUUACAAUGUUCCCUGUGCACAUGCCUUGAGCUGGGCCUGCUAGGCCUCAGACCAGAGCCUUCACCUACCACAUACCCUGAAGACUCAACACACAGACUCUAGUAAUUCAGCCAUCCCUCAGGUGGAUUUUGAUGGUGCUUAUCUUUUUAACCAAAAAUCCAUAUGUUUUCUAACAAAGGAGUUUUAUCCUAAUUCCAGAUACAAAAAGUAGGUUAGAUGUCAAGUCUGGCAAAACAAAAGGUAGUUUGAUUAAUCAUUAGGGAAAUGCCAAUCAAAACCACAAUGAGACACAAUUUCACACCUAUCAGGAUGGCUAUUUCCAAAACAAACAAACAAACAAACAAACAAACACAAAACAGAAAAUCACAACGGUUGACAAGGAUGUGGAGAACCUGGAAGCCUUGCACGUGGCUAGUGGGAAGGUAAAAUGGUGCAGCUGGCGUAGAAAAACAGUAUGGCAGCUCCUCAAAAAAAGGAAACCCAGGAUCACUAUUAACAUGUGAUCCAGCAACUUCACCUCUGAGUACACAACCCAAAGAACCGAAGGCAGGGACUUGAAUAGAUACCUGUGUAUCAGUGUUCAUAGCAACACUAUUCACAAUAGCCAAAUGACAGUAAUAAUGAUCUACAUGUCUACUGGCAGAUGAAUGGAUAAACAAAAGCGGAUACAGACAUACCAUAGAGUGUCAUUGAGUCUUAGAAAGGAAUGAAAUUCUGACACAUGCUGAACAUUUGCCCAUGGAUGAACCCUGAAGACAUGAUGCUAAGUGAAAUCAACCAGACAGAGAGAGACAAAUAACGUGUGAUUCCACUUAUACAAGAUGCGGAGAGUAGUCAAAUUCACAGAGACAGAAAGUGGAGUGGUGGUUCCCACGGUGGAGCAGGGGUCAUUGUUCAAUAGUAUAUAGUUUCAGUUUGGGAAGAUGAAAACAUCUGAAAAAUGGAUGGUGGUGACGGCUGAAGAACAAUGCGAAUGUACUUAAUGCCACUGAGCUUUCUAUUUUAAAAUGGUUAGAAUGGUAAAGCAUACAUUAUGUACCUUUUAUAACAAAAUGUUUUAAGGUAGAUUGGUUGUCAAAAUACUAGAAUUUCACAUUUCAAUGGACGAAAGCCAAAACGAAUGCAAUGUGGGACUGCCCUGGAAAACUCCAGGCAUUUGGACGGCCAUCUUGAAACUGUGCUGUAGAUAAGGUAGAUCAAGACCAGGAAGCCCUGGGGAGAAGGUGGCAGGGAUAUAGAGCUGGAGAGAAGGGGAACUGUCUGCCUCUUUCCUUCAGAAAAGCCUGCGGUGACAACUUGUUCACCUCUAGCCUUACUGCUCGGGCUGCAGAGGACGCCGGCACCAGCACCUUUGUCCAUCUCAAGGGCUCUGUUGGAAACUUGAGUCAAAUCAACUACCUUGCAGCCUUAAUCUAUAGUAGUUAUUUUUGUUGUUCCUUCUGUUCCUGGUGACACUUGGUUCUGAAUUUAGUCUAGCAGAAUGAGAGGGCCUGCACAGGGGCCCUGCUAUAAGUUACCUUCACUCACAAAAUGCGGGCAUCCCCACCCCUAGUUACAACACACAUGUAGCAACAUGUCUUCGUAUGUUCUAAAGCAGAGGAAAGAGCCAAUGGAACUUAUAAGCUGUAGCUUAUAAAGCACUCUUAGAUGAUUCUACCAUUUUUUAAAAAAAAUUACCAUGAUUUAUCUGGUCAUCUAGAGGGGCCAGACACAGUAUGAUUAUGAUGCUCUUAUGAACUUCAGAGCACUCCUAGAGGCCACUUUUAAUGAAGUACAAGCCUCCUGACUGGAGAUUAAGUCAAUAUCCUUUAUCACACUAUUGAAAGCACUGAAUAUUUUGGUAUCGACUCUCACUACUCUAUUUCAAAAGAGGCUGAAGAAGCUGAAAAGCUGAGCAGCACUUCUCAGUUUCAAGAAACUAGGAGGCAAAAACUGGAGUCUAGGACUCAUCAAUGAGGGCCUAAUAAUUCCCUCCAUUUUGGGGCUGAGAUCUCAAAGAACUGUACCCUAGGACUAAGGGUGAUGGAAGUCGACUAAAACUCAGCAACAAAUUAUCUCAAUUCAUGAAGUGGAAUUAAGGUGAUCAAGACUGCUAGUCUGGGGGAGGGGUGGAGCAAAAUGGCUGACUACAAGGCUCCACUGAUUGUCCCCACAGCAGGAAUGCCAAAUUCAACAGCUAUCCACAUAAAGACAGCAUCUUUAUAAAACCAACAAUCAGGUGAGCACUCACAGUCCCUGGUUUUAAUUCUAUCACUGAAAGAGGCACCAAGGAAGGUAGCAAGGAGAGUCCUGAAUUGCCAGUGCCCCACUUCCUCCAUCGCCCAACAGCGGCCAUGUGGCACAGAGCAAGAACCUGUGCA